UCCUGCCCAUAUCCCUAAAAUUCCCCAUAUCCCUAAAAUUGUGGAGCCUCUACACGCUACUCUUCUACUACCUCUAGUGAUGAAACUCCAAUAAACCUAAAAGAUAUAAAAUUUCACGGCUUCUCUUCCAUCGUCCAUCACUCUCUCUCUCUCUCUCUCUCUCUCUCUCUCUCUCUCUCUCUCGCGUGUGCCUCCAUUCCAGAUCUGCUCGGAAACAAAAAUUGAAAGAAGUUUGGCAGUUGGGCAAUAGUACAAGAGCCUUGCAUCGAUUCUAUGAUUGGUCUUGUUUAGGAUUUAAGGUUUCUGUUUGGGAUUUCACUCUCUGAUAGGCCUGUGUGGCAACAAUUCAUUAUUUGCUCUUCUGGGUUGUUCUUUGGUUACCUUGUCAAUUGCGUCUGUGAGAUAUUUGGCUGAACUACUAGUACAGAAGCAAAUAGUUCAAGCCAUUCUCAAUUUGGAGAGAAUCACCGUUUUAGGGUAAAUCUACUAAUGGAGAUUUCGAAGCAAAUGCACCUUGAUCCUUAGCUGCUAGCCACUAGUUAUAAGGAGGAGACAUUGAGGAAUGCAGUUGCAAAAUUUAAGGGGAAGAAAUGGAAGAAAAUAGGUUUGUCUUUGUUUAUUCAAUCAUGCUUAAGUGGAGAUUGUAGUUACUAACUUCAGUAGGUAUUGGGCUUUUAAGUGGCAAUUAGUUUACUUAGACAUGUUUAACAAAUAAUAAAACAAAUGUAAUCUUUUAUUAUUUGUUUUUAGGUUAGUAGUUUCUCUCGUACUAUUCUAAUGUCAUGGAUGAUGUUAUUUUAUCUAUGUAUUAAGACUAUGUAGUUUGCAUUCAAUCAAUAUUCAAAUCUUCACUAUAUCUA